GUGGGGAAUCUUGCGCAAUGGGCGAAAGCCUGACGCAGCCAUGCCGCGUGAAUGAUGAAGGUCUUAGGAUUGUAAAAUUCUUUCACCGGGGACGAUAAUGACGGUACCCGGAGAAGAAGCUCCGGCUAACUUCGUGCCAGUAGCCGCGGUAAUACGAAGGGGGCUAGCGUUGCUCGGAAUUACUGGGCGUAAAGGGCGCGUAGGCGGACAGCUUAGUCAGAGGUGAAAGCCCAGGGCUCAACCUUGGAAUUGCCUUUGAUACUGGCUGUCUUGAGUACGGGAGAGGUGAGUGGAACUCCGAGUGUAGAGGUGAAAUUCGUAGAUAUUCGGAAGAACACCAGUGGCGAAGGCGACUCACUGGCCCGUUACUGACGCUGAGGCGCGAAAGCGUGGGGAGCAAACAGGAUUAGAUACCCUUGUAGUCC
rnacentral:rRNA from 1 species